UACGUAGGGGGCUAGCGUUGCUCGGAAUUACUGGGCGUAAAGGGCGCGUAGGCGGACAUUUAGGUCAGAGGUGAAAUCCCGGAGCUUAACUUCGGAACUGCCUUUGAUACUGGGUGUCUUGAGUGUGAGAGAGGUAUGUGGAACUCCGAGUGUAGAGGUGAAAUUCGUAGAUAUUCGGAAGAGCACCAGUGGCGAAGGCGACAUACUGGCUCAGUACUGACGCUGAGGCUCGAAAGCGUGGGGAGCAAACAGG
rnacentral:rRNA from 1 species